GUACCUGAAAAUUCAAUAAAAUUGUUCUGAAAUUGACCUUGGGAUGACCUUGGCAUAACUUCUAGAUGACCUUAAGGAAUCAAGGGACCCCCAUAUUUGGAUUUAGCGACAACAAAAACAAAAAAAUAAAAUUAAUUUUUAUUGAAUAAAUUUUUUUUCCUAAUUGACCCUCAAAUGACCUCGAACCUGACAUUAUGGAGGUUAACAGAUCUCGGAUUCGGCUUCAGCGAGUCUAAAAUCCCACAUAUAUGAAAUUUUCAGGUUUAUUCAAUGAAUAUUUCCCUACUUGACCUUAUCAAACAAAUGUUAGAAUAUUAAAAAUGGGACCUCAAUUAAUAGAUGUCUAGAUUUUUAUGGUAUUUUUCAAAAGUAAAAAAAAAACUAAUAGCUAGCUGUUUAAAAAUAAGAUUUUAUUUACUGAAAGUGUUUGAUGGGGUUAAAGAAGAAGUUACAUACAACUUUACAUCCGCUCUUUUUUCGCAACAAUGCAACCUUGUUAGCGAAGUUUUAAUUCAUUAAUUAGGGUAUUGCAGUUUAUACGCACUCUGGCACUUCUGAACGCAACUCGCAGUUACAUAUAGGUUUAUUGAUCUGUAUUUAUAUAUGUAUGUAUGUAUGUAUAAAGGCCCAUACAAUCAAUUGACAUCGGUUGAAAAACAUGAUUUGCAAAUAACGCACUUAAAUUUGCAUAAAAUUUGCAAGCGUUGUCAGAAAAUGCUGCUAACAAUAGAAACAACAACAUAAGCUAACAACUUUGAAACGAACAACGAAAUGUUACAACUCAAAAAUGCCAAUCGAGCUGCCAAAAAUUAUGCAAAUUAAUAGGCGAAAUUUUAAAUAUCCGCGAUCGCUGACGCAGCUGUGCUAUACUACCACUCAACUGACAGUUACAGCAAACACACAAACAGGAAAAAAAGUUUUAAUAAAAUCACAGGUAAGCAGCGUUAAGUGAAACUGAAAGGAUUUUUGCCCGACAGCUAAAAAAAAUUAUAUUUGCAUAAAUACAAUGCAGUUUGCGAGCGUUUUUGGGAUAUGCAAAUGAGACAGCCGAACUGAAUCGAAAAGAGGUAAUUGCCGCACAAAAUGCCACUGAAUGUGCCAGCCAACGCACCGCUGGCGACUCAUUAACAUAACAUUAAACAUCGACAGAGAAAAGCGGGACAACAGAACAACUACAACGACGAUAUUUUCGAAUAUGGUUUUUUUUUUAUCAAACAAAUACCACUUCGUCUCAUUCCGACAUCCUUGCAGUCAUUCGGUGAGGUGCGAGUAUAAGUACCUAUCAGAAUGUGCGGCAACGUAGCGCAUCUGCCACGACCACUCGCGUACGCGCCGCAUCCGUAUAUGCGUCCCCAGCCUCAUCAUCGACGUUGCUGAGCCAGCUGAACCAGCUGAGCCAGCCGAGCCAGCCAACAGUUCAACGAACGCAAUGCGCUGUGUCACUAACCUAAAUUAAAAUUAUGUUAAUGAAUGAGAAAUAUAAAAACACAGUGCCAGUAUCCCUGCAGGCCCCUCACCGAUGCAGCAGAAGCAAGAGCAGCCCGUAAAUCAGGGCCAAGGACGACUCGAAUGGGAAUGCCGCGCUGCGUCGUUGUGCGAAAUGGGGAAAGCGACUGACUGGCAACCUUUGGGCAUAAUGAAGUUAGCGAGGCUGCGCUGCCACAUCGCUCAUCAGCGUAAUUUUAAUUUACUUUUUUGUUGUUGUUGUUGUGGUUGUUGAUGCUUUAGAGCGCAAAAAUUUCAUCUCUUCCUUUCAUCGCUUUGUUUGUUUCUAUGCGCUUUCGCGGAACAUUGACUGGGCGACCGGCAUUUUUGUCUUCUACUUCCUGCCUGUUUCAUUUCCAUUCAAUUCCUAUGGUGGUAAUUAUUACUCAGUUUUUGUCGAUUAAUUUCGAUUGGCCUUGCGAGCGGUGACGUCACAAGGACACUGUGCCCGUUCAGCGUCGUCGACGUGUUGUACAUACAAUUAAAAUUCUAAUUUAUGCAAAUUAUCAAAGGCGCCGCCGGUACUGUGUUUGGGUAUUUCCAUGCGACGAGUAUAAUUACAAAGAAUUUGUGAGCGUAUUUCGCGAUUAAAGCUUUAAUCGAAAAGACGUGGCGGAAGCGAGCGAUUUAUUUUGUAAUAUUUCGUCAAAUUUUAUGUUAUGCUGCACUAAGUUCACUAACUACAUCACUCACCAGAGGAAUGUAUGUAUUUGUAACAGUCUUAAUAUCAUUUUUUCUUCUUAUGAAUAUCCCCAAAUGUAUUUUUUUUUAAAGCUGCCGACAACCUUUCGGAUGCGCCUCACGCUGAGGAAUGAAAUUUCAAUUUGAAUUGUACGCAAUGCGAACAGAACAGAUUCCUUUUCUUCUUCAGUGGAGCCUUAUCACCACUGAAUCGCUAAACAAUUUGGGAGCGCGUCUUUGCGUUUCUUCUUCAACGGCUCCAUCAAUGCUGGAAACUGUGGCAGGGGUGAUGACAGAAGUUUGCCACAGACUCCAAGGAAGCAAUCAAUGGAAAACUGCUACCGAGAUGCGAUUACUCGAAACACUAAACUCGAAAAAAAUAUAUGCGUUUACAUUUUUACAGCGAAUUUCCAUGCGCUCUCGCCGCGAAGAAAAAUUAACUCUAUAUCACUUGACGCGAGUGCGAUAUGCAGACGAGUAUGAAUGCAUGGACGGGACGGACCGGUAAAUCAGUAAGGCAAUCGCUACGAUAUUUUGCUCAGAUGGGCGGAUAAUUGAGACGCGGCGCACCAGUCAGCCGCAACGCUCGACUGCUACUGUCCGCGGACGACUUUGCCAAGACCGCACCAAACAACAAAGCGUAAAAGUGCGAAGCAACUUGAAGAAGACGCCGACGCUAACACCGAUAUCAACGCCAACGCCUGUUUCGUCGUAAAAGAGCCACAAUAGAAGUGGAAGGGAAUCUAAGUGUAUUUGCCACCCCCUCGUUACGCCAUACUCAACUUUGGCAAGUGGUUCGAAGCGACUCACAUAGGCGAGCGGACAUGUUCUGCUGCUGAGUAGAGUUAAGAAGCAAGUGAAGUGCUGGACACGCGCACUGGCACAUCUGCUCUCACGAAGGAUACGCUCUUGCACUCCUUACAAUACAACUACACUAACGCAUUCCUCAUAGGGUAAUAUGUAAGUUGAAGGUGCGAGUUUUUGCAAAAAAAAAAGCACCACUCUAUAGCAAUAACGUCCCCGAAGGGUAUAUUGCCCUAGAAAAAAGCGAGGCAAAAAAUGAGAAAAAAUGGUGGUGGAAAAUAUAAAAAAAAAAUAGAAAAUAAGUCAUCCCCUCACUUUUCGCACGCACACAUGCUCUAAAAAGCACACUCACAUCCACACAUAUGUACAUAUGCUAGUAAACAAUGAGGCGGAUGACGAGCAAAAAAGCAUGACGAAUUUUUCCAAAGUUUUUAUAUUCCAUCCAUCAACACACGUAUUCGCUUUCUGGCGCUCACACGCUUUGUGUCGAUCCUGAAGGUAUUGAAGUGCAGAAAAAAAAAUACGAAUAACUGGAGGAUAACCCACCCUGUUUUCAGGUCCUAAAAAUCCGUUCCCUGUUCAUCACUAAUAUACUUUUGGCACAGUUUUCUUUUGGCGGCGGGAUUGUUGAAUAUUUGCAAAACUGCAGAAAUAUGGAAAGUUAUUUCAAGAAAGCUGAUAUGCCCGCACCCCAAGGGAGUAUUAUCGAGGCAGACAACACAAGCUCAAGCAGCUCCACGGAAGAGCAGCCUCCGCCCAGAAUUUUUUACAAUUGAGCAAUUGUCAAAAAUCUGCAUUUUAAUUAAAAAGUUUUUUCUUGAAACUACCUUC